rnacentral:rRNA from 1 species
CCCUUAGAUGUUCUGGGCCGCACGCGCGCUACACUGAUGCAUUCAACGAGUUUCUUCCUGGUCCGAGAGGAAUGGGUAACCUUUUGAAAGUGCAUCGUGAUAGGGAUAGACUAUUGCAAUUAUUGGUCUUCAACGAGGAAUUCCUAGUAGACGUAGUUCAUCAGACUGUAUCGAUUACGUCCCUGCCCUUUGUACACACCGCCCGUCGCUCCUACCGAUUGAAUGCUCAGGUGAGCCAUUCGGACUUUCAUCAUGCUGGUUUCCAGUUUUGAUGAAGGAAAGUCUUGCGAACCUUAUCAUUUAGAGGAAGGAGAAGUCGUAGCA